rnacentral:lncRNA from 1 species
ACAAGCAAUUCCUCUUUCAUCAAGGUCAGUUAUCAUAGGAAGGAAGAUUGAUUUUCAAUCUUUGGAAAAAGAGAGUUUUGAAAUUGGAAGAAAAAUCAAAACUUAAGUUUGGGAACAUCUAUGCACUGUAGACUUACCUACCUAUCCCAACCUAGUUCAAAAUUUAUGGCAAUGCCAAAGUCGGAUAUAAUUGCAUUGAGAUGGAAGUAAAGAAGAUCAAGAUCACUCUCAAUAUAGAUAGACUUGGGCUCC